rnacentral:misc_RNA from 1 species
CCGAGUUACAACUCCCAAACCCUGUGAACAUACCACUUGUUGCCUCGGCGGAUCAGCCCGCUCCCGGUAAAACGGGACGGCCCGCCAGAGGACCCCUAAACUCUGUUUCUAUAUGUAACUUCUGAGUAAAACCAUAAAUAAAUCA